rnacentral:lncRNA from 1 species
CUUAACAUUUCUUAUACUGGUUUCUACAGUUUAUAUUUGAAAUUUCUCAGUGUUAUGUAGAGUGAGCAAAAGCAUUGAUUUGUUUAAAACCAUAGUAUUUUUAGGCCUUAAGCUUGUGUAGGUCCUUUUAAUUUACAGUGUUGAUCCUACCCCAGUAUCUUAGAAAAUCUAAACUGUUCUUACAGCAUGGAAGAAUCAGAUUAGAAAAUCAUUUGUUUAUCUCUGAGUUAUACUAAUUAACAGUGCGAAAACAUUCUAUUCUUUAAAAUCUUGUAAAAAUAAAGAACUGGAUCAAGGACAUGUCUUUAAACAGUGGAUUGGAUCUGUAGAGGUAAUUACAAUUAUUUUUUUGACUUGGUAGCUUGACUAAAUUGAAGAAUUGCAUUCAGUUUGGGUUUUGUAUGUUCUUAAAUAGCUACUGAAAUCUUGUUAAGUCAAAAAAUAAAAGUCUUCAUCCUCUUAUUUGGACAUUUUCUCUUUAAAAAGCGCUUGGUGUAGUUCAUUUAUUGUUUAAGUGCCAGUCAUCUUAUUUCUAAAAACUGAUCAUCAGUGUGAAAAAAGUUUGAAGAUUAUUUCAGUUUGCAUAUGCCAAUAAUUAUUCCAAACCU